GACGAACGCUGGCGGCGUGCUUAACACAUGCAAGUCGAACGGAAAGGCCCUGCUUUUGUGGGGUGCUCGAGUGGCGAACGAGUGAGUAACACGUGAGUAACCUGCCCUUGACUUUGGGAUAACUUCAGGAAACUGGGGCUAAUACCGGAUAGGAUCUCCUGCUGCAUGGUGGGGGUUGGAAAGUUUCGGCGGUUGGGGAUGGACUCGCGGCUUAUCAGCUUGUUGGUGGGGUAGUGGCUUACCAAGGCUUUGACGGGUAGCCGGCCUGAGAGGGUGACCGGCCACAUUGGGACUGAGAUACGGCCCAGACUCCUACGGGAGGCAGCAGUGGGGAAUAUUGCACAAUGGGCGGAAGCCUGAUGCAGCAACGCCGCGUGCGGGAUGACGGCCUUCGGGUUGUAAACCGCUUUCGCCUGUGACGAAGCGUGAGUGACGGUAAUGGGUAAAGAAGCACCGGCUAACUACGUG
rnacentral:rRNA from 1 species